UACGGAGGGAGCAAGCGUUACUCGGAAUUAUUGGGCGUAAAGGGCGCGUAGGCGAUUUGAAAAGUCUUGUGUGAAAGCCCCGAGCUUAACUCGGGAAGUGCACAAGAAACUGUUGAAUUUGAGUUCCGGAGAGGAAGGCAGAAUUCCCGGUGUAGUGGUGAAAUGCGUAGAUAUCGGGAGGAAUACCAGUGGCGAAGGCGGCCUUCUGGACGGAUACUGACGCUGAGGCGCGAAAGCCAGGGGAGCAAACGGG
rnacentral:rRNA from 1 species